rnacentral:rRNA from 1 species
AACGCACCUUGCGCCCCUUGGCAUUCCGAGGGGCACACCCGUUUGAGUGUCGUGAAAUUCUCAAAAGCCCUUCCUUGGUGGAGAGGAUUUUGGACUUGGAGGUCAUUUGCUGGUUUCACCUUGAAGCGAGCUCCUCCCAAAUGGAUUAGUGGGGUCUGCUUUGCCGAUCCUUGACGCGAUAAUAUGUUUCUACGUCUCGGGUUUCUGCACUGUACCUCUGCUUCUAACCGUCUCAUUGACAACGAUGGUGUUCCGGUCACCGCCGAUUCAUCGGUGGGAGGCUCGACCCACAAAAACGACCUUGACCUCAAAUCGGGUGGGACUACCCGCUGAACUUAA